rnacentral:rRNA from 1 species
GACGAACGCUGGCGGCGUGCCUAAUACAUGCAAGUAGAACGCACAGUUUAUACCGUAGCUUGCUACACCAUAGACUGUGAGUUGCGAACGGGUGAGUAACGCGUAGGUAACCUGCCUGGUAGCGGGGGAUAACUAUUGGAAACGAUAGCUAAUACCGCAUAAUAUUAAUUAUUGCAUGAUAAUUAAUUGAAAGGUGCAAUUGCACCACUACCAGAUGGACCUGCGUUGUAUUAGCUAGUAGGUGAGGUAACGGCUCACCUAGGCGACGAUACAUAGCCGACCUGAGAGGGUGAUCGGCCACACUGGGACUGAGACACGGCCCAGACUCCUACGGGAGGCAGCAGGAGGGAAUCUUCGGCAAUGGACGAAAGUCCGACCGGGCAACGCCGCGUGAGUGAAGAAGGUUUUCGGAUCGUAAAGCUCUGUUGUAAGAGAAGAACGGGUGUGAGAGUGGAAAGUUCACACUGUGACGGUAUCUUACCAGAAAGGGACGGCUAACUACGUG